rnacentral:rRNA from 1 species
UAAUUGAAGAGUUUGAUCAUGGCUCAGAUUGAACGCUGGCGGCAGGCUUAACACAUGCAAGUCGAGCGGUAGCACAGGGGAGCUUGCUCCCUGGGUGACGAGCGGCGGACGGGUGAGUAAUGUCUGGGAAACUGCCUGAUGGAGGGGGAUAACUACUGGAAACGGUAGC